rnacentral:rRNA from 1 species
AUGUUGUGGCAGAGCUUCGACUACCCAACAGAUAUCACGCUUUCUGGCGCCAAGCUUGUCUGGAACAAGGUCACCGGUUUCAGUCGCAAGUUCAUAUCAAAGAAGAGCCUCAUUGAUAUGGGUCUCGACUCAUACAGCCUAGAACUAGACACCAGCGGCGUCGCCGUCCUCAAGCGCCGCAACAAUCCCUCUGUAGUCUAUUGGCAUCGGGCAUCCUCCAAAACAUCAUCAAUGAGUGUUAUACCAACACUCAAGACAAUUAUUGAUUUGGAUCCACGCACCAAAAGCUUGAUGAACCCAAUAUAUUUUGACAAUGAUCAAGAGCAGUACUACAUGUACACUUCACCGGAGGAAUCAUCGUCUUCCCUGUUUGUUUCACUAGACAUCUCUGUUCAGGUCAAGCUGAAUGUUUGGUCGCAAGUCGACAAGUCUUGGCAAACCAUAUGUGCAGAGCCUGUCGAUGCCUGCGGACCUUUCAUAGUCUGCAACGACAAUGCACAACCAUCUUGUGACUGUAUGGAGAGCUUCUCUCAGAAGUCACCACCGAAUUGGGAGAUUGAGGAUCGAAUAGGAGGAUGCAUCAGAAACACACCUUUGCAUUGCAGCACUAGUUGUAACAACAAAAACAUGACAAGUUCAACAGACAUAUUCCUCCCCAUUUCUCAAGUUGUGUUACCCUGCAACCCACAAAGCAUAGAUGUUGCUACCACUCAGAGCAAAUGCGAAGAAGCUUGUCUCAGUUCCUGCUCCUGCACUGCUUAUUUCUAUAACGAUAGCAGAUGCUCUGUCUGGCAUGGUGAAUUGCUCAGUGUAAAUCUGAAUGAUGGCAUUGACAAUAAUUCUAAAGAUGCCCUUUACCUUCGCCUUGCCACGGCUGCAAGGUUUGAAAAAAAUAAGAAUCAAACAAACAUAAGAGUUGUAACUGCUGCAAGCAUUAUUGGUUUUGGGUUAUUGCUAAUGCUCGUGCUGCUGUCACUAAUUUGGAAGAACAAAUUCAAGCCAUUAUACAACAAUCAAGGUACUGGUGGCGGGAUAAUAGCCUUUAGAUACACUCAUUUAGUUAAUGCUACUAAGAACUUCUCAGAAAAGCUGGGAGGAGGUGGUUUUGGUUCUGCAUACAAAGGAGUGUUAAAGGACCCAACUAGUAUAGCAGUGAAAAGACUUGAUGGUGCCCGUCAAGGAGAGAAGCAAUUCAGGGCUGAGGUGAGCUCAAUUGGACUGAUCCAACAUAUCAACAUUGUAAAAUUGAUCGGUUUCUGCUGCGAAGGUGAUCACAGGAUACUUGUGUAUGAACACAUGUUAAAUGGGUCUCUUGAGGGUCAUCUAUUUGAGAAGAGCAGUGCUGCUGUCCCGGAUUGGAACAGCAGAUAUCGAAUAGCUAACCCAAGGAGUUGCCAAAGGAUUGUGCUACUUGCAUGA